rnacentral:lncRNA from 1 species
CAAAGUUUGGAGCAUCAUCAGUUCUUGACCACACAUUCUCAGUGAUGAACAGAAGUUACAGGAUUCUCCUUGUCUCCAAAGCUGCCCAGACAAGUCUGCAACAGAGCUCAGCAAAGAUCAAUAACCAGCCUGAAAAAAGGAUGUGGGUCAUCUAUCUCUUUCUUCAUUUGUAAAUUUCCAUAUUGUCUCAAUUUGUUUAAAAUAAAAAAAUGAGUUCUAACGCUCA